UCCAAAAAGAUGGGUUCUAUGGCUCAAUUUAUAUAUUGGCUAAACCUAUAUGUCUGCUAAAAUUCUGCAUCAGCAUUCAAAAGCUGUCCUUUCAAAGUUUAAAGCCCCAAAAUACUCCAACAAAAGCACCCUCUUAUCUACUUUUUCAUCAGAAGGGAUAAAUACAAAAGAUUUGAUUUUUUUUGUCAGUUAUAAUAGGAACAAAAAAAAUUAUACAAGGAAGAGGCAAGGUGAUGGUAACAAAAAGGGAACUAUUUUUGGGUGUGUGUG
rnacentral:misc_RNA from 1 species